UAUAGAGGUCUCAAGCGUUGUUCGGAUUCAUUGGGCGUAAAGGGUGCGUAGGCGGCGCGGUAAGUCGGGUGUGAAAUCUCGGAGCUUAACUCCGAAACUGCAUUCGAUACUGCCGUGCUUGAGGACUGGAGAGGAGACUGGAAUUUACGGUGUAGCGGUGAAAUGCGUAGAUAUCGUAAGGAAGACCAGUGGCGAAGGCGGGUCUCUGGACAGUUCCUGACGCUGAGGCACAAAGGUCAGGGGAGCAAACGGG
rnacentral:rRNA from 1 species